rnacentral:rRNA from 1 species
UACGAAGGGGGCUAGCGUUGUUCGGAAUUACUGGGCGUAAAGCGCGCGCAGGCGGUCUUCCAAGUCAGUGGUGAAAGCCCGGACUCAACUCCGGAACUGCCAUUGAAACUGUUAGACUUGAGGAUGAGAGAGGUGAGUGGAAUUCCCAGUGUAGAGGUGAAAUUCGUAGAUAUUGGGAAGAACACCGGUGGCGAAGGCGGCUCACUGGCUCAUUUCUGACGCUCAGGCGCGACAGCGUGGGGAUCGAAACAGG